UGAUGAUCUCAUGGUGAUUUUCCUGCACCCGGAAGACACUUUGCUUUGCUUUGGGACCAUGGAUAUUCCUUGGGGCAGCCACCAAGGAUGAAUAAGGUUUGAAUGGGGAGGCACUGGCCUCGGAGCUCCUUGCUGCUGACAUCAGUUGUGCCCUUGUAGGAGACGUCCUGGUCCUGUCUGCCUCAGAGGCUUCCAUCUGCGGAUUUCCUGAGGUCGUCCCCUUACUCCUCUGCUGCAGUCUCUCUCAACAUUUCAACUGUCUGCUCCAGAAAGUUACUCUGUCACUAAGUAAAAUAAAUACAAACAAAAUAAGCAAUAAUCUACCCCCUUCCUUUCUCCUCUGGUCCCCUCUCUGUCUGCCUGUCACCCCCUCCUCAAUGAGAACGUGGAUCCCUCGUGGCAUUUCUCUGGAGGGAUGGCCCAGGCUUUCCCAGCCCAUGCACUCUCAGCCAGAUCAUUUGCCUGCGGUCCCAUGGCCGUCUCCAAAAUGUGC
rnacentral:lncRNA from 1 species